UCAAGCCUCAAGGAAACAAAACAAGUCCCAGCUCCCAGAUCAUUCACCUUGGAGGCCCAGGCUGAAGCUAGGGAUGCUGGGCUCCAGUAUGUCCCCAAGCACAGCUCUACGAGAUCCGAGAUCGCGCCCCAACUCUCACACCCGAGUGCCUCCCGUGGGUCCGGUAAAGCCCGUCUCCACCUUGACCACCUACCACACGGGGCCGCUCCAAAGGCACUUUCUUGGCCACCUUCUACUCCCGCUACCCCAGCUCGGUCCCAAGCUCUUGGCCCUGGCCAUUCCACCCACGUCUAGAAAGUUCCAGCCCCUCACCUCCUCCCCCUCUCAGCUCAAGCACCCCAAGAGCUUUCUGGAGCCUCCAAGAGCCGGAGCUUCGGAUGAGGUCCCCAACAGCCUCCCAAGCUCAAGCCAAACCAGGGAGUUUCAUCGCCACGCUGGGCGCUGGGCAAGUGGGUGAAGUUCCCCACAGACUGGCUGUUAACAAGGGGGGUCGUGGGACACUUUAUGGGAAAGGCCCCAGCCAGGGCUGUUAAGUGUGCUAACUGUGCAUCAGUAGCUUAACGGGCAUGUAGGGCACAACCCUAGGAGAGGACAGCUACAACUGAACCUCCAGAUAUGGAAACAGAGAGCCUGGGUACAGGGUGGCUCUGUCUGUGCAAGAUAAUGUUAGCACAAGAUAAUUCCACCUAGUCGGCUCGUUCCCCAUCGGCCGGUUUGGAUACUGAGUUGCUGCUGGGGUGGUGAUCUUCCACAGGAGUCCAUUCACUCCAUCACUCCCACCCCAGAUAACCCUGAGGCCCUUUUGUCCAUCAUUGGCUACAGUUUCCUCCUUUCUGGUCACGAAGACACUCUUGAAGGUGACUGGGAGCUUCUUGGAGACGAUGAGAAAACUGAGACACACAAGGGGAAGUUGCCAAGACCAUGAAGAUUGUUUUGGACCAAGAAAAACUAAAGAAUUGAUCCCUGAGGCCAGCAGGCAGAAGGUUCUGAUAGCCAUCGGUUUAGCUCCAUGGUCCCAGUUGGGGGAAAUGGACCAAUUUGAAAUCCAAGUUAGGUCAAAUGCCCGACUCCUCCCCAUCUCCCCCCAGUCUCCAGGAGUCUCACUUUGCCAUGCUCUGUCAAGAAGGCCAGCCACAGCCCCGAGGCUCAAUUUCCCCUAUAAAACAGCUCAUGGCCCAUGAUUUUGCCCUCCUUUGGGUCAGUCCACCAUGGGGCCUCUGGUGUCUUUUUCCUUCCUCCCCUUGCCACAUAGUAUCUCCCCUAACUCCACUAUGCUUCCCGACCCCACUUCUCCUUACAGCUAACUCUUUUAAGGUGCUUUUAGGGCCCCUUUCAGGAUUUAGCCUGCCAGCUGAGGACAUGCCCCAACCCAUGGGAGCUCCCUUCUCCUGGGUAAUUGGGAGUUCCAUUGAGGCACUUGGCUUUCCCAUGCACUCCCAUUCUGUUUCCUAUUUAUCAUUCCCGGUGUCCAUGGUAUCCCUUCUUUUGUCUGAAACCUCGUGCCCUAAAUAAAUCUACCUUUUGCCAAAGAGAA